GACGAACGCGGGCGGCGUGCCUAAUACAUGCAAGUAGAACGCUGAAGCUUGGUGCUUGCACCGAGCGGAUGAGUUGCGAACGGGUGAGUAACGCGUAGGUAACCUGCCUGGUAGCGGGGGAUAACUAUUGGAAACGAUAGCUAAUACCGCAUAAGAGUAGAUGUUGCAUGACAUUUGCUUAAAAGGUGCAAUUGCAUCACUACCAGAUGGACCUGCGUUGUAUUAGCUAGUUGGUGAGGUAACGGCUCACCAAGGCAACGAUACAUAGCCGACCUGAGAGGGUGAUCGGCCACACUGGGACUGAGACACGGCCCAGACUCCUACGGGAGGCAGCAGUAGGGAAUCUUCGGCAAUGGACGGAAGUCUGACCGAGCAACGCCGCGUGAGUGAAGAAGGUUUUCGGAUCGUAAAGCUCUGUUGUAAGAGAAGAACGAGUGUGAGAGUGGAAAGUUCACACUGUGACGGUAUCUUACCAGAAAGGGACGGCUAACUACGUGCCAGCAGCCGCGGUAAUACGUAGGUCCCGAGCGUUGUCCGGAUUUAUUGGGCGUAAAGCGAGCGCAGGCGGUUAGAUAAGUCUGAAGUUAAAGGCUGUGGCUUAACCAUAGUACGCUUUGGAAACUGUUUAACUUGAGUGCAAGAGGGGAGAGUGGAAUUCCAUGUGUAGCGGUGAAAUGCGUAGAUAUAUGGAGGAACACCGGUGGCGAAAGCGGCUCUCUGGCUUGUAACUGACGCUGAGGCUCGAAAGCGUGGGGAGCAAACAGG
rnacentral:rRNA from 1 species